ensembl:snoRNA SNORD11B small nucleolar RNA, C/D box 11B
UGUCAGCUGUGAUGAUGAUGACUGUUGUCUUCCUCCUGAAGCUAAAGCUGAGGGUUUUUCUGUCACUAUCUCAUCUGAGCUGUUA